UUUGCUCAUCAUUAACGAAUCGUGACUUACCUUUUGUCUCAAGCAGCAACUAUAUUUGUUCAUAAUUUGAUCAUGAUUUGUACUUCAGUAGUAACUGAGUUAUUGCUUAGUAUUUGUGCCAGUCACCGAAAAAACUCCCCGAGAGAGUUAACAAUGAAGUGAUACUUCUGCAGAAACGUUCCAACUCCAUGUAAUAUGUGAUGGCAGGUUUCUACCAGGACUUUCCCAGGCACGUGUAGCCACCUGAUACAGCGUCACUGAGAACCUCUUUACUUCAGGAAGACCAUUAACUGCCACAGCUUUGGAAGGAGAUGAUACAGAAAGUUCCUCCAUGGAGCCCAUCCAUCAGACUGUGAUUGGCGUGAGCAUGCGUCCGUGGGCGUCAGAGCAUGACGCGAGCAGCUGGAUCCCCGAGUCAGCAGAUGCACGGAGCCCCCGAUGGCGAGACAGGAAGCCACCGUCCACCAUGCGGCGUCUUCUACAUCAGCUCCUCUGGCUAGAAUCGAGGAAAUGCGGGCAUGCUCCAGUCUGCAACCAGAGGAUGGUGUGCAGUUCAGUGGGUUAGGCCUCUGUGAUCAGAAGGUUGCUAGUUCUGAUCCCAUGGUCAGCAGAGUGAUGUCACUACUGGCCCCCCGAGCAAGGCCUUUAACCCCCAGUUACCCCAGGAAGUGUUUGAUCCUUUGAUGCUUUGGGUAAAAGCAUCUGCUAAAUUAAUGUAAUAUGCCUCACUAAACAUGGUAGAAAAGUGAAGUAACCUCAGUUUUGUGAUUAUGCUCAUAUGUUCGCAAAAAAAUGGCAUUUUUAGGAAGUCAAUGUUUGUUUAUCUCUGCUCUAAUAAACACGUCAGAAGGUUG